UACGGGGGGGGCAAGCGUUGUUCGGAAUUACUGGGCGUAAAGGGCUCGUAGGCGGCCAACUAAGUCGGACGUGAAAUCCCCAGGCUCAACCUGGGAACUGCGUCCGAUACUGGAUGGCUUGAAUUCGGGAGAGGGAUGCAGAAUUCCAGGUGUAGCGGUGAAAUGCGUAGAUAUUGGGAGGAACACCAGUGGCGAAGGCGGCUCACUGGACCGGUACUGACGCUGAUGAGCGAAAGCGUGGGGAGCGAACAGG
rnacentral:rRNA from 1 species